rnacentral:rRNA from 1 species
GACGAACGCUGGCGGCGUGCUUAACACAUGCAAGUCGAGCGGAGCGGCGCACGGGUGAGGAACGUGUGAGUAACUUCCCCCCUCUCCGGGAUAACAGUUGGAAACGGCUGCUAAUACCGGCUAGUGGGGGUUGACUCGCGUCCUAUCUGCUUGUUGGUGGGUUAUUGGCCUACCAAGGCGACGACGGGUAGCCGGCCUGGGAGGGGGACCGGCCACAUUGGGCUGUGAUACGGCCCAAACUCCUACGUGAGGCAGCAGUGGGAAAUAUUGCACAAUGGGGGAAACCCUGAUGCAGCAGCGCCGCGUGCGGGAUGACGGCCUUCGGGUUGUAAACCGCUUUCAGCCAUGACGCGGUAGUGGCAGAAGAAGCACCGGCUAACUACGUGCCAGCCGCCGCGGUAAUUC